GCUCUAUUAAGCGUUAUAACCGCUGGGAAUAUCGCAUAAGCGAUGUUCUGAAAAAAAUGUGAUCGUGCAUGUACGUGAUUGAGAUUAAGGUUGCUGCCUUUUGAUUGUUUAUGUCUCUAUAUGAAGUUGUUUGUUGGUGCGAGACUUAAUAUGGGAGUUUUGUCAGAAAUGGAAAGAGAAUCAGUACGAGGUCCAACACAAAAAUUAAAUGCAUUGAAUAUUGGCAAAUAAUGGCAGGAAAUAAUAAGUAUAUUAGCAUAAUUAAUUAUCAAAGUCCAUCAAAUCAGAUGUUA
rnacentral:lncRNA from 1 species